GUACGGGGGGGGCAAGCGUUGUUCGGAAUUACUGGGCGUAAAGGGCUCGUAGGUGGUCAACUAAGUCGGACGUGAAAUCCCUCGGCUUAACCGGGGAACUGCGUCCGAUACUGGAUGACUUGAGUUCGGGAGAGGGAUGCGGAAUUCCUGGUGUAGCGGUGAAAUGCGCAGAUAGUCAGGAAGAACACCCGUGGCGGAAGGCGGCUCUCUGGGACGGUACUGGACGCUGAGACGCGAAAGCGUGGGGAGCGAACAGG
rnacentral:rRNA from 1 species